GUGGAAUCACACUGAUUAAAAACAUCUCUACCACAUCUGUGAUAAAACUGUGAAAGUAGUGGUAAGAAAGCAGAUGAGUGUAAAAUCAAAUUAUUGACAACACUUUUUCAAAGGAUUCUGUAAGCACUGGUAUCUAUUAAUCUUGUGUUUUCAGCUGUCAUGUAUCAAUGCUGUUGUUUCUGUGUACCAAUGCCUUUGCCUUCCUAUGGUUUCACAUCUUGUGUAUUGUUGGUCAUCCUUUUAAAAAAAAAUUAUGGGGAAAAUACUGCUUGGUGUUACUCCAGCUAAAAUUUCACCAAUAAUUAUAUUGGCAUUAUAGAGUGACAGCAGCCAAAUUGACCUUUAUUGAUUAUUCAGCUGAGAAUGAAAGUAGCAUGUUUGAAAAUAUUGUGAUAUUUUAUUAAGACCCUAUAAAACUGGCUUUUAAAAAAUUUUGCAUGAAAUGCAUCAAAGUAAAUACAUUGUUACCAUACAAUAGAUGCAUGGUUACUGAUUCUUGAUGAUAUUUCUAGUCAAUCAUAGGUUUCACCUGCCAGGGGAAAUGAAAAAAAAAAAAAAAGAUGUCUGGAUAGUUAUUUAGAAUGGAUAUAAAAGAAAUAGAGGUUAAUUUUAAGGAGAUUUUUGUGUAUGCUAAUUUUCUGACUGCAAGAAAUAUUCUGGUAUAGAUUAUUUUUAAAAAAAGUGAAACUUUGCCACUGAUAGACUAGAUUUGCUUAAAUGUUUAGUGUGUAAAGAACGUGUGCUUGUGUCCAUUUUAAGCAUUAAGUUACCAAAAUUUAAGAAGUGGGCGACACCUUUGAAAAUGAGAAUCUUGGUAAUAUUGGCAUAGAUGAACAAUGGCAUAUAAUUGAAAGUUACGUUAACUCCAGUCCAGCCUGGGAGAUAAUGUGCUGAUGCUGUUUUAGUUAGUCAGUGUACUAUUGGAUUCUAAUAACAGCAUUUUUGUUAACAUGCUAGUAGGUUGAUACAUAUACAGCAGAACAUAAAUUUUUAUGACAUUUCACUAAACUGAUAAGCUUUUAAAAAUUUAUAUUUAACUAUCUUGAAUUAUGGAAUAGUUCUCUAAAAUUUUAAUUCAAAAUAGAGGAACAAAAGUCCUUCCAAGCACCCUAAAAUGCAUUGAAUUGAUAUUGUUAACUCUGAUGGAAGAGUCAGAGGACUGGGGAAGGGGGUGGAGGCUGGUUGGUAAAGGAAGCUGAAGAAAAUGCAUUUGUAAAACAGUAGUCUUAGAGCAGCAGAUUAAUGAUGGUAGGGAGAGGAGUGGUGCUAUUAUGUUAGUAUUUUCCCACAAAAUGGUAAGUGUGAUGAGCAGUGUAAUAUUUUUAAAGAGCUGGUCUCAAUAUUAGUACUUUUUGAUUAUUAUUAAAAAUAAAUCAGUGUCUCAGUAAAUUUUGUUAUUUCUUUAUGUCACAGUUAUCUGGA
rnacentral:lncRNA from 1 species